UAAACCCAAUUUGGAUUGGUUAAUUGAUUCUACCGCUUUUGAUUUCGAUUGCGAAUAUAUUUAUAUACCAACCCAAACAAACAUGAACAAGAAGAAAGCUCUCUCCAUUUUGUUGCGCGCCAGAAUGAAGCCUAACGAUCGCACCAACCUUCCUCUCACUGUAAGCAACCUAUCUCGCCAUUACUGUCAUUCAUACACUUACUUCGCUUUGCUUUGCUUCAUUUUCACGCAAAUCGAUGAUUCCAUUUUCUGCGUAAUUUUGAAAUUGAAUCUGAUUCUAUCUGACUUUGUUCCUUCCUUCGAUUCUAGGGAAACACUUCUUUUAUGGCAAAACACAAAAAAUUAGUGGCAAAAUUGGUUAACCAUGACCGCGGAUCCGUACAAUAUGCAUUAUUUUCUUAGUUAGAAUUAGAAAAUGAAAUAAAUUAGAGGAAAUGGACUAGAGACACUUUGUAAGAGAUCUUACAGGUUAGCAAGAUUAGUAAGAUUAGCAAAAAUGUCACCAAUUGACUGGGAGAGCAAAUUAUUGCUUAAAUUCCUGAAAAACACAUGGAAAUACAGGGUAAGAGUGGUUCCAAUUCCAAUAUAUGACCAAAAUAAAUAUUGGGAAAUAAAAUCAUAGCAUUCACAAGCAACUUACAGAUAAUUGAGUGAAGCCAUGAUAGAAAUAGAAUAAGGAAGAUUCCCAGUUAAGUUAUUUCUUGCAAGAUUUCUGCUAGUUGCAAUUGAAGAUUAAUGACACAUUUCAGUGACAAGAAAAAUGAAAAUUUCAGAUAAAGCAGCAAAAUGAAACUGAUCAAGAAAUGAAAAGAGCUGGUAAUAAGAGGUGAGUAUUACAGGCUUGUAAGAUUCGGCGGCAACUGAUAGGGAAUGGCGUCGUGGAUCUUGUUGUCACUUAAGUCACUAGAAAACCACGCCAAAAAAAUAAAAAACCAAUCACCAAUUUAAUAAAAAUAUUAAAGGCCAUGUGUAACACAAAAUCAUAAAGCAGAAUUAUCUCACAGCUUUCUCAGUGACAUAAGGUUAGAAAGCAAGUAUCCCAGAGUUCCGUUGAGUCCUAAACCUGAAAGCUCACUAACCAGAAUUACAACAGGGAGAUCAGUUAGUUUUCACAACCAAAAAUUUACUUAUUCAAAAUUACUAAUACAAUCACAAAUUGAAAUAUCAUCUGAACCUCAUACAUUGAAACAAUAGCUGAGCCCUCACAUGUUAUCCCUUUCCAUGACUCUCCGCAUGGAUCACCACCGCCGACUUUCCAACCCGUUAGCAUAGAUGGACUGUUCAACGAGUUGUACAUGACCUGAAGAGCUUGAACUGCAACAGGAAAAACAACAAAUUAAAACUACCACAAAAGUAAUAGUAUGUUGGUUUGCAGAAAAAGAUUUAUAAAUAUAAAUGGUAUGCGAAAAACGGCUUAUUGGUUCCAAUUAACCUUUCUUCCCUAAAAGAAGUAGAAGAAGAAAAGGAAUGAACAAAAGGAGUUAUUGAAACACAUGAGUGGGAAAAAAGACCAUUUUUUGGUGUGAAAAACCAACCACCUAUGACUUCAUUUAUUGCAGUACUACACUCUUUCUGCAAUCAGAGUUUCUACAAAGCAAAAUAGAAGCCUAAGAGCUCAAUGCUCCCACAUGGGCUCAACCUAAAAAUCACUUCUUUUGGCAUGUCAAAGCAAAAAAUAAAUAAAUCAAGCCUUUAUUUUAACCAUUGCAUUUCCCCUGAAACCAGCAAACAGUGUUUACAAGCAGACACCAAAAACUCACACCUGAAAAGGUGAAGAAUCUAAAGUUGGGCAUUCAAACAAGCACUACCCAGAAGGCAAAAUCCAAUCUUUUUCUCAAAACCAAACAUCAUCAAACCAAUCAAACACAGAGUGAUCAAUCAUCAUACCAAGAAAAAAUCAAAAAAAUAUAUCAAAAAAAGAGGAAAAAGAGAAUACCAUCAGAAGGGUCAGUGUUGGCUGAGGCAAUAGGAAGAAGAGCAGCAGCGAGAAUCAAAGAGAAUGAGAAGAAUUCAGCGAGAAAUAGCGAAACAGAGGAAGUGGCAUGUUGAUGAUGAUGAUGAGCCAUUGUGGUUGGUUUGGUUCAGGUGAGGUGGAGCACAUGCAAGAGUAGCAUGGAGAAGAAUCAAGAGAUGUGAAGGAAGCAGAAGAAGAGGAUGGAGAAGGGGGUAGGAGUAAGAAGAGCGUAGUGGUUGGGUUCCAGAUCGUGACUGGUUGUACAAGGCAAUGCCAUUAAAGAAAGGGACAGAUAGAUGGAGAUUCCAAGCUUAGAGUAAUGAAGAGAGAGAGUGGCUCAAAGCAAAAGGAACACGAGAGUGUGAGUGAGCUUGUUCAAUGUGUUGAGUGUGCGAGUGAGUGUGUGUCGGCGAAAAAUAAGAACCAAGAACAAGAAAAAAAUGUAAUGAUUUUUUUUUGUUGGUAAAAUUAAAGGUUGAGUUCGUAGAAAGAGUUUUCGGGUUCGAUCCUCACACAAUACACUAUGAGGGAGUAAUGAUGAGCUUUAAAUAUGACUAAAUCCUGAAUCUGACGGUAUCCAAAUGGUGACCGGGUACCGAAUGUUAUACAAAAUAAAAAGUGGGAGAGUGAAGGUAAUAUACUCUAAACUCACUAUUAGUGCAGGGUCUCAAAGACAUGUUAGAGUGAAUGUAUUCUCCGUUGCUUCCGCAAGCGGGUUACAUUAUGCAAUUAUGGUUCAAGAGCGUUAGGAAACUAAUUUUUCAGUUGAAAAUGAGAGUGUUAAGCUCGUUAUGACCAAGAGGUUAAGGGGUUUGAACUCUCAAUCUAUGAAAAUGCGAGAAUUAAACUCGAAACAUAUUGUUAUUUGUGUCAACUUAAGUCGGUCGGUAUAAAUUUUUGUAAGGAUGUUGUUUCGGUACACAUUGAAAAUGAAAGAGUAUAAUACCUUUUAUCUCAUUUUUCAGAAUAUAAACAAACAAAAAUAUAUAAAUUAGAAAAAGUUUUUUAUGAAAAAAAUAUGACAAUUUAAGGCAGGAGUAAAGUAUGAAUGGAACCCUUUAUUUUAAGGUUAAAGGGUAUAAGAGAAACUGACUUUUUAUUAAAUUAAAAUAGAAUAAUAAUGUAGAAAAAACCAAAAUUCACGUAAAUUGGGUCGAAAGGGUGGCAGAUUUUGUUGGAAGCAGUCAAUGUUACAAUUUAGGAGGGGUCCACACCUUUUUCCCCCUUCUGGGUUUUGGAUUUCCUGUGUUCUAUUUCUGCAUUCUAAUUCGACACCUUUUGGCCUUUUUAGUUUUUACCUCUUCUUCAAGUCCAACCUGUGUCACUUUACCUUUUUUCCCCUUUUCAAAUAGCAUUUUAUUCUCCCACUGGGAGUCACAUCCCUCUCUCCUACCCUACCUGCUGGAUACACAAUUAUUAUUAUUUUUUAACGACUGAAUACACAAUUAGAACGUGAAUAUAUAUAAAAAAUACAAUCUGUUUAGAAAAAAUUGUAUAAUAACGCUUAAAGGUAUAGCUAGUGGCUACCUUUAACAAUUGGUUAUACGCAACGUAAUCCGUUUGUAAUGACUAGUUGAUUAUAUUAAUAUAUUCUAUGAGAAAUAACGAGUUAUGUCAAACUUCUCUAGUAGUUAAAGAAAUUCUUAAUAAGUGAUUAUUUUAAGUUGUACAUGUUUAAUUUUUUUAAAUUAAAGUCUUGAAUUCGAAUCAUAUAAGUAUGAAUUUUUAGUAAAAGAACUAAUUUUAUUAUGAUAUGAAUUUCUCUGAUUAAAAACAUAUGUCUUUCAUGGAAGUUACCUGUAUUAAAAAAACAAAGUAGUUCAUAGUCUGCCAUUGCCGACAUUAAAAUCUAACGUCGUGGCUCCGCCUUGUGACAUUAAAAAGAGUUUAAGAACAACUACCAGACUUUUUUAUAAACGUGAAUGCUUUAUCAUGUUUGAAAAUGUUUACCAACAAUAUACUCUGCCUCUUAAAAUUACACACAUUAAGCACGGUAAAGACAUAUAUGUAGAUAAAGAUUUUUUAUAAUGAUAAUUAAUGAUGCAAGACAACAAUUCAAAAUAUUAUUCGGUGAACUUAAAUCAUUCUCAUUGACAUUGUGAUGGGACUAGUAAACUAAAUAUUCGGUGUACUUUUAUAAUUAAUGGGAGCUAAUGAAAUCAAUGAGACCGAAAGGAGAUGUGGAAAGCAAACAAGAAAGAAAUUCAAGAGCUUAUGCAAAGCGUUGGGGCCAAGGUUUGGUAAUUAACGAGAGAGAACUUUUAAGUUUUAAAUUGAUUUUCAUGGUGCUCGUGAGUGGUGACCCCGUCAUAGAUUCCUUUGUCAAGUUUCAACAAUACAACACAAAAUCCCACUAAUGAGCCACUUCCAUUUGUCAUGUUAUGUAAUCUCAUUGGUAAACAAAGUAAUAAUAGUGCAAUGCAAUGCAUCCCUUGAUCAUCACAUAAUAUAAACGAGUCCCUUCCAAAACAAACGGGUUGGGCCCAAAGUAUUUUUAAACGUAAGCUAAAUUUAAUAUAAGGUUUAAAUUAGUCUACUCAAAUGACUGUCCAGCAUGAUUUGAGUUUUGUCGUCACUUUCUAUUAUAUAUAAAAAAUGUGUUUUAUAUCCUCCUAAAAUCCUCAUAUAUGUUUUAAGAGUUUGUCUAAAUCUCCACAAAUAAAUGUGAAGUAAAAUGACUAUAAUUAACUUAUGCGGUAUAACAAUUUUUUCAUGUGUGUCUUAAAUUUGUUUAACUCAUAACACAUGUUAGUAAGAUAUUACUGAGUUACCUAAGCCUUACUCUUGAGAUGUCAUACGAAAUUUAGAAAGUUUUGAAUGCUUUUUAUAUUUUCAAGAAAAGAUCCAAAUCUAGAUUAACGGAUCUAACAAGAAGCUAGCUGACAGAGAGUUCAUGUACACGAGUUUUUAAUUUUGGUCAAAAUGUACCACCUGAGGUACAGCUUAGCCAAUUCGGCGGGUUAUGGGCUUUCAGCCUUCGCUCUUUCUUUUGGGCUUCGGCCCUUAUCACCUUUCACAAAAACAAAACCUGGUUGUAAGUGACACGAGAUAAUGACCCGAAAAUAAAUAAACCAAUAUCGAGCCACAUUUUUCUGUUAAAACAUCAAUCAGAAAAUUAAGAUAUAGUAUUAUUGAAUAUUAUAGUGAGUGUCAUGAAUUAUCAUAUAACACCAAGAACAGAUGUUAUAUUGUUGUGGACUGCAAGCAACGCAACGCAACACUUGGUGAGAAAAACGUGGAAAUGAAAAAGAGUAAAGGCUGUGGCUGAAAAAUCAUGUAAGAAACAGUCCUAAACCCAAUUUGGAUUGGUUAAUUGAUUCUACCGCUUUUGAUUUCGAUUGCGAAUAUAUUUAUAUACCAACCCAAACAAACAUGAACAAGAAGAAAGCUCUCUCCAUUUUGUUGCGCGCCAGAAUGAAGCCUAACGAUCGCACCAACCUUCCUCUCACUGUAAGCAACCUAUCUCGCCAUUACUGUCAUUCAUACACUUACUUCGCUUUGCUUUGCUUCAUUUUCACGCAAAUCGAUGAUUCCAUUUUCUGCGUAAUUUUGAAAUUGAAUCUGAUUCUAUCUGACUUUGUUCCUUCCUUCGAU
rnacentral:lncRNA from 1 species